GCAAACACCUGGAAGUGAUUUAUCGCUCGUCUCGCAUGUCUCGUUCAGCUUCGUCAAGAAUUUGGUUCAAAGUCAAUCUAAGAGCGCGAGGAGUUCCCCGUUGAACAAGGGAUUCCAUUACAACAGCGAUGGGUUCAUCAACAGUAUUAAAAGAUUCCUGUGGCCCGACUCAUGUGAAAUCCCACAUUACUUAGAGAUGUGAAGUGAGGGUUUCUGCAACAAACUUUUUCUGUGCCAUCAGACAGAUCGAGCCAGUGCUAUGGACAUCAGUUUAAAUACAAUGUAUGUACAUUGUGUAAUAAAAUAUUUGCGCCUCAAACGAUUUGACACUUUUAUCUCUCACAGGCAAUUUUAGCACAAUUCUAUA
rnacentral:lncRNA from 1 species